UCAAAAUUACGGAUGAUCCACAAAUUCAAGCAUAGUUCAAUCAGAUCUAAAUAUGAUCGACAACAUACCAUCUAUAGUCUUUCGCUCCUAUCUGAAACCCUCC
rnacentral:snoRNA from 1 species